rnacentral:rRNA from 1 species
UGGAAAUCAUUCAUAGAGUGUAAAGGCAUAAGGGAGCUUGACUGCGAGACCUACAAGUCGAGCAGGGUCGAAAGACGGACUUAGUGAUCCGGUGGUUCCGCAUGGAAGGGCCAUCGCCCAACGGAUAAAAGCUACCCCGGGGAUAACAGGCUUAUCUCCCCCAAGAGUUCACAUCGACGGGGAGGUUUGGCACCUCGAUGUCGGCUCAUCGCAUCCUGGGGCUGUAGUCGGUCCCAAGGGUUGGG